AAUUUUAUCCCUUUGUUUCUCUUCUUUCUUGCCACAUUUCUACUCAAAGCAUGUAAUAAAUUGUAGAUUCCAUUCUUGAUAUAGUUGAAAAAUCAAGUGGUGUGACACCGUGUAUAGUGUUCAUUAAACAAACAUAGAUUGGAUUUGAUCCACCCUGCUUCAGCAGAAACUGCUGUAUCUGUAACCUCCUUAAUGGCCAAUUAAUUCCAAAGAGCAUAAAAGUGGUUCUUUGCCCUGAAAUUUAAAACUCUAGUCAUGGACUAUAUAAAUAAAAGACAGAAUAUGGCCUAGACAGCAUUAUUAGAUGGUUAGCCUGCUGAAUAUUCAAUAUUUUGUUCUUAGUGUUAUUUGACUGGUCUUAACAUUUUUACUUGGGGAAAAAUGCUAUUUUUAGGCCCAUUAAUAUUCAUAAUCAAAUGUAAUGUAAGAGGGACCAAUUCUGUUUAAAUUAAAUGCUUGGCUGUGUAUUUAGAAUGGUGGUACUGUUGAUCACUAAGCUGACUCCAAGACACCAUACCCAACACCAGCUCUGGAUUGUCUGCCAUGAAGAAGAUUUGUGCCUGGAGGGUGUUUGCUUCUGGACUAUAGGCAGGGAACAGUGAGUGAAAUGCUGAUGAUAUUCAGUGUAUCCUGGCUUAGUAGAAGUAGUCUCUCAUGAUGAAGAUUUUGAUAAUUUCUUGAAGUCAUAAUGUCAUUCUACCCCAAUGUCUUCAUUUGGCAAAUGUUUGUCUUAUCUACAUAUUUUAUUUUAUUUUAUAUGGCAUCAAGCUAUAGGUGAUCUUUUGAAGCUAACUUUUUUCACCUAAAACCAUGAAGUUCAACUUGGAAGAACAGUCAUCUUAACAACAUUGAGACUUCUAAUCCUUGAGGUCUCACCUCAGAAACCAUCUUCUCACUAUUUUCCUUCAUCGUGAUUCUAUAGAAGCAGACUUUGGUCAUUUCAGAAUGGAUGAAAUGAUCAUCACCCGUAACUGGUCAAAGUGUUCCCAAUCCAAGAAUGCAACCUUUUGAAAAAUGCAAGGAAUGGAAAGCACCAAUGCUUCAAAUGGGGUGCUGUGUUUAGCAGUAAGAAGAGAUUGGGAUACUAUCAAUGGCUGAAAAUGCAGAGCAAGCAAAUCCAUAUCCAGCGAAAGUGUAUCUUUCAAUGAUAACAAACCAUGGAUGUCUCCAGGAUAAAAUGGAUCUAUUGUAAUCAACCUGCUAUCAG